UACGUAGGCAGCGAGCGUUGUUCGGAGUUACUGGGCGUAAAGGGUGUGUAGGCGGUUGUUUAAGGUUGGUGUGAAAUCUCCCGGCUCAACUGGGAGGGUGCGCCGAAUACUGAAUGACACGAGUGCGGGAGAGGAAAGUGGAAUUCCUGGUGUAGCGGUGAAAUGCGUAGAUAUCAGGAGGAACACCGGUGGUGUAGACGGCUUUCUGGACCGUAACUGACGCUGAGACACGAAAGCGUGGGUAGCAAACAGG
rnacentral:rRNA from 1 species